GGGUUAGGGUUAGGGUUGGAGUUAGGGUUAGUGUUGGAGCUAGGGUUAGGGUUGGGCUUGGAGCUAGGAUUUUUCUGAGUGCAAUGAACCAACUCCCGAGUCUCUAGGACAUUCUAAAAAAAUUUGAUUUUUUCCCAUAGGAAUGCAUAGGUUAGGGUUAGGGUUAGGGUUGGAGCUAGGGUUAGGGUUAGGGUUAGGGUUGGAGUUAGGGUUAGUGUUGGAGCUAGGGUUAGGGUUGGGCUUGGAGCUAGGAUUUUUCUGAGUGCACUGAACCAACUCCCGA